GAGGGUAUAGCUCAAGUGGUAGAGUGCAUGCUUAGCAUGCAUGAGGCUUUGAGUUCAAUCCCCUGUACCUCUU
rnacentral:tRNA from 1 species